AAAAAGAUUUGACAGAUCGGAUAUGGCAGCAGAAGAGGGGCAAGUGAUUGGUUGCCAUACUGUUGAGUUAUGGAACGAGAAUUUGCAGAAGGCAAAUCAAUCCAAGAAGCUGGUGGUUGUUGAUUUUACUGCUUCGUGGUGCGGACCCUGCCGUUUCAUUAGUCCUUUCUUGGUAGAGCUGGCCAAGAAACUGCCAAAUGUUAUCUUCCUGAAGGUGGAUGUGGAUGAAUUGAAGACGGUUGCUCAGGAUUGGGCUGUGGAAGCAAUGCCAACUUUCAUAUUCCUGAGAGAGGGAACUAUUUUGGACAAGGUAGUGGGAGCAAAUAAAGAUAAACUGCAUGAGACUAUUGCAAAGCACAUGGCUACUGCUUCUGCAUGAAGAUAUAAUUUCCUUGUGUCUUUACCAUUGUCAUUAGUAAUUUGUGUUCUUUUAAACCUUAGAUCAUAUUUGAGGUAGACUGUUUUUUAAAAAGUACUAUUUGAUGAUGUUGAAAAAAUAAACAUAUUGAACUGGUUUCCAUGAUUCUAUCAUUGUAUGGCAUAGGGUUCUUUUAUUG
rnacentral:misc_RNA from 1 species